rnacentral:lncRNA from 1 species
GCAAAUGGAGUUGAAAAGCCAAAAUAUUUAUAUGUUACCAAAAAGAAAUGAAAAGAAAAAAGCUUGUGGUAAAGUUGUUUAUACAAUGAUAUAAUAUGCUUCUUUUCUUUCUUGGAGUUGCCUACAUAUGGUUAUGGUUAUGAUGAUAAAAGAUUGAAUCAUUGGCUUUAUACAAUUAUAGUAAACUAGUAUAGUUUUGGGGAAGAUGGAAAUUAGAGGUCCCAUUAUGAUGGUUGCUUUUGGAAAUGUUUUCAAGUGAUUUUUCUUUGAGUGUUGAAUUUGUGGAACUUUAUCUCCGAGUUGAGUUAAGUCUACAAUGUGCUGACUCACUACUAUUUCUCUAGCAUAGAAGUUUAAAACAAAUUGUUUUGGCAAGAAGCACCUGUUUUAUAUUUGGCUAAAUCUUGUGAAUUUUUUACUCCAAUAUUCUUCAUUAUUCUCAAAUUUUACAUGUUUUCAAACUAACUCUCCAUGUACUCAUGUUUCAAAUAAAUUAAUUUUGGUAUAGAGGAUGUCAAUUGCAGUGGCGCCACUCAAUGAAAUAUGUGUGGAGUCACCAUUGUGUUUUAUUAUUAAAUUUUAGUAUUUAAUGAUUUUUUUUGUGUGGUUUUUAA